rnacentral:snRNA from 16 species
GGUUUAAUUACCCAAGUUUGAGGUAAUCAAGUACAAGUCGUCUGACCGCCGACAACAACUCGCUGACCGACAGCGAAUUUAAAGUUUUUUUUUAGAAGUUGAAAAAAG